GUCAAUUAAAUUGAAUGUCUGAUACCUCAUGAGUUUCCCUACUCUGAUGACUUAUUGACUGGACGCAUUUCAAGAUGAAAAUGAGGAGGGCAUUGUCUAGAGAAGCUAAGUGCCAUUGUAUCCUUUUUGCAUAUCUUUUCUGUCACUUGAGACCAGAAACAGCUUUAAGGGGCAAGACCUCUGGGAGAAAAUAGAGGCAGUUGUGGGCUUAAGAACUAGCACUGGCAAUCAAGAGUUGCUCUUUGAAGAGGAGCAAACCCGUCAAUUCAGCUGAGAAAGAAAUCCCCCUAGCCAAAGUGCUUCUCCAAGAAGAUGGCUGGUUCUUCUAGAGAAGCUUAAAGACUCAGGAGGAAAGAAAAGACAUUGGGUUCCUGCAGUACUGAUGUUAGAACUGAUGAUGAAACACAUUAACCACUGCUUGCUGAGAGAGGUGAUGCCCUCAGAGUACAGAAUGAGAUGUACUUAUUUGGACAUGACUAAGGAACCAGGAUGGCAGAGUAAAAAGGUAGUUGCAC